AGCUCAAAUUUGAAAGCUGGUACCUUUGGUGCCCGCGUUGUAAUCUCGAGACGCGUUUUCCGCGCGGCGCUAUGGACAAGUUCCUUGGAACAGGACAUCGUAGAGGGUGAAAAUCCCGUACUUGCCAUGGAUGCACCGUGCUUUGUGAUACGUGCUCAAAGAGUCGAGUUGUUUGGGAUUGCAGCUCAAAAUGGGUGGUAGACUCCAUCUAAAGCUAAAUAUCGGGGAGAGACCGAUAGCGAACAAGUACCGUGAGGGAAAGAUGAAAAGCACUUUGGAAAGAGAGUUAAAAGUACGUGAAAUUGUCGAAAGGGAAGCGCUUGAAGUCAGCCAUGCCGCUCAGGACUCAGCCUGGCUUUUGCUUGGUGUACUUCCUGGGUAGCAAGUCAGCAUUGGUUUGGACCGUCGGAGAAGCAUGGCAGGAAUGUGACGCCCUCGGGCGUGUUAUAGCCUGCCAUUGGAUACGCCGGUCUAGACCAAGGAACGCAGUGCGCCUUACGGCGGGUCUUCGGACACCUUCGCACUUAGGAUGCUGGCGUAAUGGCUUUAAGCGGCCCGUCUU
rnacentral:rRNA from 1 species